rnacentral:rRNA from 1 species
GAUGAACGCUGGCGGCGUGCCUAAUACAUGCAAGUCGAGCGAACAGACGAGGAGCUUGCUCCUCUGACGUUAGCGGCGGACGGGUGAGUAACACGUGGAUAACCUACCUAUAAGACUGGGAUAACUUCGGGAAACCGGAGCUAAUACCGGAUAAUAUAUUGAACCGCAUGGUUCAAUAGUGAAAGACGGUUUUGCUGUCACUUAUAGAUGGAUCCGCGCCGCAUUAGCUAGUUGGUAAGGUAACGGCUUACCAAGGCAACGAUGCGUGGCCGACCUGAGAGGGUGAUCGGCCACACUGGAACUGAGACACGGUCCAGACUCUUACGGGAGGCAGCAGUAGGGAAUCUUCCGCAAUGGGCGAAAGCCUGACGGAGCAACGCCGCGUGAGUGAUGAAGGUCUUCGGAUCGUAAAACUCUGUUAUUAGGGAAGAACAAAUGUGUAAGUAACUAUGCACGUCUUGACGGUACCUAAUCAGAAAGCCACGGCUAACUACGUG